GAGCAGGAAGUGCUCUUAACCUCUGGGCCAUCUCUCCAACCCUAUGAUCUAUGAUUUCUUUAUUUGUUUGCCAGGAUUUCUAGUAUUCAAGAAGCUGGGUCCCCGGGAGGGGAUUGAAGCUCAGAACUCAGUCAGCGAGGUUGUCAUUCUGCUGAGAAGAACAGUGGAGCGAUUCUAAGAAUGAGAAUCCAGCAGAAGAGAGGCUGCUGGGUCCCUGCCCUUGCUCCCAGCCUGCCAUUCACUCCUCAGUUCAUCCUACCCCUGGCUGCCAUGUGCCAGGCGCUGCAGCUACCAACACAAAGCCUUCGGGAGUACCCAGGCUGAUGGGGAGGCAGCUGGGCAGAUGAGCACUAGGCAGGCACUCUAGGGGAUGCCGGCAAGAGCCCACAUUCUGGAAUUCCCUCCUCCACAGCACUGGCUAGGCCCUGUUAAAAUUAACUCCACCAAUUAAAAGCAUGUUAGGGA